rnacentral:tRNA from 1 species
CGGCGGCCUGGGACGGCGGCCGGAGCCCCGGCGUGUACAGCGCGCCGACGACGGUGAUCCGCUCGGUCGCCGCGGCCACCGCCGCC